AGAAACUUGAGAGACUGUGCCGGAAGAAUGCUGGACAGAGUUCACUAAAAUUCAUUCAUUUCAAAGUUCAACAUGAAUGGUGGUGGUCCACUGCAGAAGCAAGCAUUUGAAAAAACAUCACUUCUCAGUUAUUAAAGAUGCUGUGUUGAACAACUUCCCAGCAGCAACAGAACUGGAAGUGAAUGAUGCAAUGGGGGCAUUUCAAACAGGCACCAGGGAGCACGGGGGGGGGGGGGGUAUAGAAAUUAGUACAAUUAAUAAGUUGACGUGAACUGAAGAUAGUUUGUUAAUGUUUAGAUGUAAUUUCAUUUUUAAAAUUGUAUUUUGUUAUAUAUGCUUUUAUUUUGUUACUGUUUUUAUUCUUUUUGUUAAAAGUAGUUUUUCUUCAUUUUGUCUUAUCUGAAUU